rnacentral:rRNA from 1 species
CCUACGGGAGGCAGCAGUGGGGAAUAGUGGGCAAUGGGCGCAAGCCUGACCCAGCAACGCCGCGGGAAGGAAGAAGGCGUUCGGGUUGUAAACUUCUUUUGACAGGGAAGAGGAGAAGACGGUACCUGUCGAAUAUGCCACGGCUAACGACGUGCCAGCAGCCGCGGUAAUACGUCGGUGGCAAGCGUUGUCCGGAUUUACGGGGUGGAAAGGGCGUGUAGCCGGGGUGACAAGUCAGAUGUGAAAUCCUGCGGCUUAACCGCAGAACUGCAUUUGAAACUGUUGAUCUUGAGUACUGGAGAGGCAGUCUGACUUCCUCGUGUAGCGGUGACAUGCGUAGAUAUUAGGAG